rnacentral:rRNA from 1 species
UACGGAGGGGGCUAGCGUUGUUCGGAUUUACUGGGCGUAAAGAGCGCGCAGGCGGCUGGUCAAGUCCGAUGUGAAAGCUCCCGGCUUAACUGGGAAAUUGCAUCGGAUACUGAUCGGCUGGAAGGUGGGAGAGGGUAGCGGAAUUCCCGGUGUAGUGGUGAAAUGCGUAGAUAUCAGGAGGAACACCAGUGGCGAAAGCGGCUACCUGGCCCAUUCUUGACGCUGAGGCGCGAAAGCUAGGGGAGCAAACGGG